ACUCCUACGGGAGGCAGCAGUGGGGAAUAUUGCACAAUGGGCGCAAGCCUGAUGCAGCAACGCCGCGUGAGGGACGACGGCCUUCGGGUUGUAAACCUCUUUUAGCAGGGAAGAAGCCUUCGGGUGACGGUACCUGCAGAAAAAGCGCCGGCUAACUACGUGCCAGCAGCCGCGGUAAUACGUAGGGCGCAAGCGUUAUCCGGGAAUUAUUGGGCGUAAAGAGCUCGUAGGCGGUCUGUCGCGUCUGCUGUGAAAACCCGAGGCUCAACCUCGGGCCUGCAGUGGGUACGGGCAGACUAGAGUGCGGUAGGGGAGAUUGGAAUUCCUGGUGUAGCGGUGGAAUGCGCAGAUAUCAGGAGGAACACCGAUGGCGAAGGCAGAUCUCUGGGCCGUAACUGACGCUGAGGAGCGAAAGGGUGGGGAGCAAACAGGCUUAGAUACCCUGGUAGGCGUAGU
rnacentral:rRNA from 1 species